rnacentral:tRNA from 3 species
GGGCCAUUAGCUCAGGUGGUUAGAGCGCACCCUGAUAAGGGUGAGGUCCCUGGUUCAAGUCCAGGAUGGCCCA